rnacentral:misc_RNA from 1 species
AAAGUCGUAACAAGGUUUCCGUAGGUGAACCUGCGGAAGGAUCAUUAACACGUAUCCAACGUUAAACCCCCCUGUGAACUUUCAUUGGAGCGUACGUCUCGUUAAUUACUCGAAAUCCCUGGUAAAUCAUCGCCGAACAGUUUUGAUUCAGGGACGGCGGGGAGCGGCGUACAUCACUCUGAGGCAAGGAUUACCUGGCAUUCCUCUGCUUGUUAGUGUCUGAAAGUGUCACUAGCUCUGUACGAAUGACGCUGUAACGUUUUCGCUGGAGGCCGACACGGCCGGCGAACAGGUAACUGGCGUAUCGCCCCCUGAUCACCCCUUUGCAUGAAAACGGGCCUGCGCUUAAUUGUGCGGCCACCAAACUCGAACAACUGUUAACAAUGGAUAUCUUGGUUCUC